rnacentral:sRNA from 1 species
UACGAAGAAUACAUAAUUGAAUUUCAGGAAAGUAAAUAAUGCGUGCAGUAAAUGUAAUUGUAGAGAAAAAUAAGGUGAUUAAAAGACAAAAGAAUAAUUCAAUAGUUACAGAUAGCGAGAGAUAUCAAUUAUUGCAACAUAUCAUGUACAAUUUUCGGACACCCUUUUAUGCAUACAUGUAUUAUCAGAACUCCAUAUAAUCUAUGCAUAUAUUGUGUCGAAUCGAUGUUAUCAAAUCUAUGGAAUUACUUACUUUCGUAUUUUCUUUGGUUUCUAUUUUGAUUUUUUCUUCAUUCGUAUGAACUUUAUUCACAUUUUUAUUAUUUGAUUUCUUUGUGUUUUCUUUGAAUUAUUGCAUGAUGUUAACAAAGGUGUAAAGGCAUAUGAUUGUCUAAAUGUAAAAAAAAAAUCUAAUCUAUAUAAAAAUGUAGAAUAAAUUGUAUUUCAAAGUUAACAAAG